rnacentral:lncRNA from 1 species
UUGGAAUCAAGCUUCCAGCCAGGAACUGACUGCCUGGAACCCCUUACCUGAUUACUUACCUGGCAUUGCUCUCGAGUACUCAUCUUCAACAUCUUAUGCUUCCAGGGAAGAUACCGCAUCUGCCUGAGGAACAGAUAGGGCAAGUGAGAAGGAUACAAGGAAGCAUGUGGAGACAAGCGUAACAGCACACGUGCCGAUACAUCCACUACUCUAUCAAAAGCAAAAGUAUCCCAUAUCAGCAUGGUCGAACGUACUCUAGAUUUGAUGGGCUUGUUUUGACCCUCAAAUUCUUCAGUCGUCGGCCUUAUACUCUGGAGGAAACCAGAUAACCCUCCAGCCCAGUUCAAGAAUAAGCCUGUGGAAAGUUACUUCUUCAAAAGCAAAAGUAUCCCAUAUCAUCUCUCCUCAUUUUUCUUCUCUUUAUCCUUCAUGCUGCCUGCAAGAUAGGGAGAAUGUGAACAAUCAGCCGGAGCUCUGAUUGCUUACCUUGUCUGUCACCUCUUUCAGCAGAUCCCCCAGCUCGGCGACUUGGGGGACUCCUACUACAUGGUUUGUAUCUCGCUUGACCAAGCAUGAAACUACAAGUAAGCUUCAAGUGAAAUUGAUACAAUACCUUGUGCAUCUCCACCAGUUACAGAUACCACCCCUGGAUGGAGGAAGAGUACCUCCAGAGAAGAUGCCACAUCUACCUAUGAGACAGAUAAGGCAAGUCAAGACGAUACCACACUCCGGUACUUAGAAGUUUCGUGGCUACGAGAUCAUUCUCCCACAAUAUUUCCUAAUGUCAUUUGUACUAAAUCAUUCACUUGUACCCACUAAAGGAGAGCUUGAACCUAUGUACUUGUGUAAACCCUUCACAAUUAAUGAGAACUCCUCUAUUCCGUGGACGUAGCCAAUCUGGGUGAACCACGUACAUCUUGUGUUUGCUUUCCUAUCUCUAUCCAUUUAUAUACUUAUCCACACUAAUGACCAGAGCAAUCUAGCGAAGAUCACAAAAAGUGACCGUUUUCGCUACCUAGGAUCUAUCUUGCAAGAGAACGGAGAAUUAGAUGGAGAUCUCAAUCAUAGAAUACAAGCUGGAUGGAUGAAGUGUAAGAGUGCAUCCGGCGUGUUGUGUGACCGUCAUAGGCCACUGAAGCUCAAGGGAAAAUUUUAUAGGACGGCAAUAAGGCCAGCGAUGUUGUAUGGCACAGAAUGUUGGGCGGUGAAGCAUCAACGUACACAAAAUGGGUGUAGCGGAGAUGAGGAUGCUUCGUGGGAUGUAUGGGCACACGAGAAAGGAUAAGAUUGGGAAUUAGGAUAUCCGAGGUAAAGUAGGAGUAGCCAAAAUUGAAGGAAAUAUAAGAGAAAAUCGGUUCCGGUGGUUUGGACAUGUGCAAAGAAGGCCUACUGACGCUCCGGUUCGAAAAUGUGACUACGGGACAGAGGUUCGGGGCCGAAGGAGUAGAGGAAGACCUAGGAAAACUUUGGAAGAGACCCUAAGAAAACUUUGGACAUGACACAAAUGAGCGCAAUGGCGUUCUAGGAUUCAUAUAGCCGACCCCACUUGGUGGGAAAAUGCUUUGUUGUUGUUUGUUGUUGUAAUGUUUAAGAUGUCUAUCAACUGUGAAAAAUGCGAUUGUGAAGCAAAGAACAAUAAAGACUUAACCAAACAUAUCCGACUGAAACGCGUACAAGUAGCCACUAGCCACCUAUAGGUGCUAUCCUGAUAAGACUUUUGAUCUCAAAAGUUCAUGGAAGGACGCCCACAAAACACCAUACGAAGGCCAAUUUUUUUCUUAUGAGAUGUUAUAACUUAUCCUACAUAAAACAAGAGAAGCAAAGCAUAAAUUGUGCUACUACUUAUCUUGUUUUGUAUAGUACAAGUUAUAACAACUAGUAAAAAAAAAAAAAAAGAUUCAUCAUAUUCUUUUAUGUGAGUAACACAUCUGUGCGAUAACCCUUGAGAUCAAAAGUUUUCCUAUAGAGGUAACACCUUUAAUUGUCACCCUUCUUUUAUGUUUAGAAAAGUCUUCUUGAUUCAUGGCUUGAUAAUCGCAUUUGUCGCAAUUGAGAGAGAUGCAAACAUUGAGAUGGAAAAAAAAGAAGAAGAAACAAGGCAAAAACUUGGGAAGUAUGGAUAUUCUCAAACUCACAGUAAAUGCUAAAAACUACAUAGCUUAUAUAGAUGUUUUUCAUUCCCUCGCAGUGUAACCACAAAAAGUGUGUGAUGCUUCAAAGUUCUCGUGUUUUCAUUUUUCAUGAAAAAAGUGUGUUUUGACUCAAACGACUAGUUUCAGGUAGGUUUGUGCGUUUUUGUUCUCAUUUCUUUGAGCUACUCCUUUUUGUCCUCCUGGCAUUGGCCUGGGGUUAGAUGUGUUAUUCAUCUUUCAUAAACAUGCCAACAGAACAGACCAACACAAAACUGUAACAUGGAACAAAGCCCAAAAGAGAGGAAGGUUAAUAUAUUUUCAUUUACAAACAUUAUGAAAACAAAUGACUAACAUUUAGAUGAUGUGCUGCCCUAUGCACCCAAGUCGGAACCUCCUUUUCGCACUUUAUACUAGUUUAAAAUAGAAUAUUGCUUGUAUAUAUUUCUAUAUAAAAAAAAUAAUUACUCACCCUUAGUUUUGAAAUCAAGAGUGGAGAAUAAAUGAAUGUGCUUUUAGUAUUUUAAUCUCGACCUUUGAUAUCAAAUGCAAGGGUGAGUUACCAUUAGAGGUGUAAGUUGGAAUUGUGUUUUUGAUUUUGACACCAAAAUUUCUGAACCCGAAAAAAUUUCCAGUCUCGAAGUUGGAUUGGAAAUUCGAAUGCAUUUAGAUAUUUUGAUCAAUCUUAAAUUUUCCGAUGUGUUCCAAACUUAGUUGGAUAAAAAAAAAUCAAAUUAUUCCAAUAUUAAUAUUCCAUUUUUUAAAGUUAUUUUGUAAUCAACUUUUGUAUUUGAUUGCUAGUUUUGGGUACAUUUUAUUCAUUGUUUUUAAAUCAGACACGUAUACAUUAAAAAGAUAGGCAUAAUAAUACCUCAAAAGUAAAUGGAUAUAUACAUAAGCACAUACCAAAAAUUAAGAAAGAACAAUAGAUUUAAUUUACGAAAAUGUUCGAGAAUAUUCAAAUACUUGUAAAAUAUAUGAAUUUCAUAAUUAUGUUCAGAAAUUUCUGAGAUUACUUCCUAAAGUUUUAGAUCUAAAAAUUGUGUUCCGCUCUAAUCCAAUUUCGAAAUUAUAAAAUGAAAGUUGGAAAUGUUUAUGAUCUAAUCUUUCUAAAAAUACCUCUCGUGACCAUGAAUCUUAGGUCACCAUGUAACCAAGACAACAUGGCUCGUUAUUUAAAUACACAACAAUCAACAAUACAUAUGUAUUGUAUCACAUAGGGUUACUUUUAUUAGAACCAAUAUCAACAAAUGUGUUAAUUUUAUGUGCCUAAAUACAUGCAAUUUGCAUAGUAUGACAUGUUUUAUUACUCCAAGACCCAAUUCAUUAGCCCAAUACCCAAAAACGACAGAGACCUUGGUAAUCAAAUUGAUCCAACGGCUGCUAUAGACGCACUGGAAUGUUGUAGAAGUAUCAUGGAAACUGUAAUGGAUAAGAACUAGGUUUUGAGUAGAAGCUUCUGGGUUCUUUGGAUGUCCUAUACCUGUACUAACCCCAUCAAUAUCAUCAACGUCGAGCUUUUAGUUGCUUGAAAAUUGUUCACAGAAAACACAAAAAAGUAAGACCGGAGAAAAGAAACAAAAACAAUGGCAGCUGAUAGCAUAUUUGGGUACCCGUUCAGGCGCCUACUCUGGAGCCCUCCGGUUUCCGUGAAUGGUCAGGAUCAACGGCCCACAUGGACUGGCUUGAAUCCCCUAAUGCCCACAUAUUCAAGAUCAAUGUUCCAGGUUUAAUUAUUUUUCUCUUUACUUUCCUUAAAUGAGUUUUAUAAGUUAUUCUCAUUUUAUUCAUCUCUGCUUCUAAAUAUUGUUAUUUGGAAUUAAAAUUUAUGUGUAUCAUAUGGAUUCUUUGCUCCCAUUAGGUUUUUAGUGAAACUUAAUUACACCUAAUAUGUCACCGUAACAUCUUAUAUCAAAAACGCGAUAUCACUUAGAAACGUUGAAAUACAUGCCAUCACUUCGUUGUUCAAAUGUCACGGGUUGAGAAUAUUGGAGCAUUGGUUUUUGGAAUUUGCCUCAGUAGAAGUUGUCCUUUGAAUUAAAAAUUUGCAAGUAAUUAGUCUCUAAACUUGUCAAAAUAUGGAAUAGUUUUUUGGGUAACACCGUAUUACUCUGCGAAUUUUGAUUUCGAGGCCAAAAGCUUUAAUUCAAGUAAAAUUUAGGACCACUUCUCCAAUUUUGCUUUUAGGAACGAACCAUUUAUUUUCACUAGGGAAAGUGGAUCCAACAAUUCACAGUUUGUGACUGAGAUUUUGUGGCAAAAUAGGUUUUAGAAAAGAGGACAUAAAAGUGCAGAUAGAAGAAGGGAACAUUUUACAGAUAAAAGGGGAAGGCGGGAAAGAAAGAGAGGAGGCUCAUGCAGCAAAAGACACUGUUUGGCACGUCGCGGAGAGGGGGACGGGAAAAGGAGACUUUUCUCGGGAAAUCGAGUUGCCGGAAAAUGUGAAGGUGGAUCAGAUAAAAGCUCAGGUUGAGAAUGGUGUUCUCACUAUUGUUGUCCCAAAAGAUUCGACCCCCAAACCAUCCAGAGUGCGAAACAUCAAUAUCACUAGCAAGCUCUAAGCAUAUGCAUAUGUAUGUUAUGUCAUAUAUAUGGUUCAAAAAUAAUGCUUUGAAUGUGUAAUGCAUUGUGAUACAACAUGUAACAAGGAGUAUAAUAUAUGCUGUCGUUAGAAAUUAAUUUUUGCCCAUUUUUAGUUUUUUAUACAAGCGAUAUUGGACGAGGGAAUACAAGAGCUCGUUUCAACCAAGUUCAAACACAAGGCAACCAAGUGAAGCAAAUUCCCUUCAAAACCUUGCGGCGGGCUAUAGCAAUAGCCUAUCCCAUCUCCCUCGGCUGUUGCAGUUGAAGAAUCGUAACUUACAGAAGUUAUGUUAGAAAUACUUGGAAACUGACCAAUACAAGUUCUCUCUCCAACUAAGAUCAAUAAAAGAGCUCUUUAUCGACUUCUCGUCAAAUGUAGAAAAUGUUGAUCGACUCACUCAUAUGAUGUUCAAAAUAUUUCGUUACCUUCGACAAAUAGUUAAACUUGUUGAUUUUGAUUUUUAGUUCUCUAUGUUUAUUAGAAUAUAAGUAUGUUUAUUUAACUUUAUCACGCAUUUUCUAGGACAUGGGAUCUAGAGGGUUGUCUUUUAUUCUGUUAUCCUUUUGUUAUUGUUUUUUAAUUCUCAAUAAUAUAGUAUCUUUUAUAAAAAUAAAAAAUAAAUAAAUAAAAACUCAAACAUUUAAAAAUCAAAUUAAAUCAACUUGGGGGGGGGGGGGAGAGGAAUGUUAAUGGAUCUGAAUCGCUUUCCUAAUUCUCCUAUUAAAGUUUUAUGACAUUUAUUUUAAGUAAACGUACUCUAAGUUGAACUAAAUCACCGAAGAAUCAGGAUAAUUUUGGCUACUAAAGUCAAAGAUAAGUUGACUUGGUAUUUUCUAAAACAAUAAAAUAGAAAUCAGUAGGUUUAUAAAGAAAAUUAGUUCCAUAUCCGAAUUUAUUUUUGUGACUUCAAUUAAAUUCCUAAUUGUCAAUAGCAUAUAUAUUUUUUAGGAAAAAAAUAGCAUAAUUUAAAGAGAAACCUGUUGGAUUUUGUGGCUCAAUACUUCUUGGGCCUUUAGUUUUUUGUCUCAAGCCCAAAUAGAUUUGGCCUUUUGUUACCCAUUUGAAAGCCACAUGGCAGCUAGGGUUUGAUUAAAAGGCACCAGCCUUAUAUAAGGCAAUUCAUGUCUUUUGGUCAGAGAGGGGAGCAGAAACGCAGCGGCAGCAGAUAGCAGAAAAACAAAGAGUAGUCGAUAGAGAAGAACAGCCGAUAGAGAAGAAAAUUGAGUGCUGCUGUUUUACUGUUCUCCAUUUGUGCAAUCAUUCAUUCAAAGAUAUUGUGCUACAUUUUGUGGCUUAUGGGAGAGAAGGAUUUGGUAUGUGUUUCUUCUUCUCCAUUUGUUCUUUGUAUGAGUGAAAGCUAUUAGGUGUAUGUGAGAUUUGGGUUUGAGUGUUGAACUCUAUUUGUAAUCUCCUUUUGAUAUUAGUGGAAUUUCCUUGCUGUCUCGGAACUGGACGUAGGCUUACGUUCAACCAGUAUAAAUCCUUGUGUCAUUUGAAUUAUUUGUCUUAUCAUAUUUUACCGUUGUAGCUUAUUGGUUUCAUAUUUGACGCUUCCUCGGUAACACUCGAAACUUAUAGAAUCAUACAAUAAAACAUUUUUAGCUUGUUGAGGAAUACAACCAUUCCAAAUAUAAAAAUUCUUGCAAUGAUGGCCAAUAGAAGUAAUGACAUCUGCAGUACAAUUAGCUUCCCUUAAGAUGUGAUUUCAUUCCACCGAGUCGAAAACACCAGCUAACCAUUUGAUGUUCUCAACGAUAGAUCCAUUUCUUUAGGGGACAACACAUUUUCCCGAGACACCCUCAACGACAAUCUUCAAGUCACCCACUACAAUGAUAUUCUUAAGACCACGGAUCCUGGCAAAGUUCAAAGCGCCUCGAAGAGCUAUUGCUUCUACGGUGGUGAUAGUGUUCUAGCCAUGGUGGCGAGAUCCGGCAGCAGAAGGAUUCCCCUAUGAUUUCUGAUGAUGAAGCUCGGAGCAGCAGAGUUCCCAUCCACCGAUCCAUCAAAGUUGAGCUUGAAAAAAUCCCUCAGCAGGAGCCUUCCACUUAAUAGGUUCUCUAGUGAUUUGUGGUUUUGUAGCUUUCUCCUUCAAGUUUGCAUUGUGAAAGUCUUUAGCAACAAUGGCUGCCCCCAAUACAGAAGGGAAGGAUGGGGUUUAACCUGUCCAAACACAAAACUGUUUCUAUCUUUCCACAUUUGCCAGCAAAAAUGAGGAUCUUUCAAAGAUCAGAAAGCUCAUCUUUAUCAAUGUAGGAAACAUUAUUUAACCAAACAUUGAUGUUAACAAUAGAAGAAGGCGGAGAGAUAUUGCUGCAUAAUUUCCAAACUUCCUGAGCAUGAGUGCAAUAAACAAAGCGAUGUAAUUGGUCUUCAUCAGCAUUUCUACACAAGCAGAAAUAGUUUGCCCAUUAGAAUUGUGCUUACCAAGUCUUAACAUUUGUGGAAAGUCUCUCUCUUACAACCAACUAAAAUAUUUAACUUUAUGUGGAAUAUUGAGUUUCCAAACUUUAUUUAGCAAAGUUUUGAAUCCAAGUGGCUGAUUUAACAGAGAAAGUUCUAUUUGGAGAGGUUCCAAAUAAAAUCAUCCUCCAUAUCAUUUAACGGUAAAAGAAUUGCAAGAAUUUUAUUUGCAACAUCGCUAGGGACUAAUUGAAGUAUUAACUCCUUAUAGUCCAAGUUUUAAUCCAAUAUUACAUCACAAACUUUUAAGAUUCAAAUUCAAAGAGUCUCUUACUUGAUCUUGAAUAAAUUGGAUAGACGGUAAGAAAAACUCAAUUAUGAGACCAAAACAAAAUGUUUCGACCAUUGCCUACUAUCCAUCUCAUCCCCUUUUGAAUUAUAGGCUUCAAAACUAAACCAAGCAGCAGAAUGACUAUGUUUAUAUUUAGCACUCCAAAAAGUUUCAUUCAUUGAGUAUUUUACCUUCACUAUUUUGACCCACCAAUUUUCUUUGUAAGUAAUUAUUUUCCAGGCAAGUUUAGCUAUAAAUCAAGAUUAAAAUUCUCAGCUUUUCUGAUCUCGAGGCCCCUAAAGACUUGGAAGGCAAGUAUCCUUCUUAGCCACAAGGGAAAAAUUCGACUUUUUGUUCCAAAGGAACUUCCUACUCUCUCUGUUAAUAGCUUGUGUUAGUUUUGGGGCAUUUUGAAGCAGGUCAUAGUGUGAUUCAGCAUUCCACCUAGGCUUAAUUUAAUGAAGGUAAGUCUACCAGCUCUAGAAAGAGUGUUGGCUUUCCAACCAGCUAAUUUCUAUUGAAAUGCAUUUGGUUUGAUAAUUUUUUUUAAUGAAAAAAAAUGACAUAUAUUAAAUAGAGUGACCACAGUUACACUCAAUUCUCAUAUAGUCAAAUAAGUAGCCUUUUUUUAGCCACCAUAGGUAUCGCUCUAUUCCAAACGUGGAGCUCAAUAUUGAAAAUCAGCACUAGUAAUCGUGUUAGCCACAAAGUUUGCUUCUCUAUAAACAUGAGAUCAAGAAAUGCUACCCUAACUAUCAUGAUAAUCUACUGUUUUCUAUUGGAACUAUUCUUUUUUUAAAAGAUAACUUUCAUUCAUCAUAUAAGAGAGGGUUGUAUAAGUGGGAGUAAGGGAGGUGUAGUCAAUUUGGAUUUCAUAGGAUUUUAAUAGAUUUUUUUAAGUGACAAAUUUCAAAGGAUUUUAAUAAAUUUUACAAUUCUACAUGGAUUUUGGCAGAUUUAUAUAGAUUUCCAUAUAGAUUUCUAUGGAUUUGUAUGGACUGUCUUCCAUGGAUUUCCUAGGAUUUUCAAAAAGAAAAUAAUUUUGAGUACAAGAAAGAAAAUAAUUUUUGAUGUCAAAAGAAUUAAAUAAAAAAGAGUGAUUCCAUCCCUUCAAUUAACAAAAAUUCAAGAAAUUUCAUUCUUCCUCUGCCCAUUUUCCUCUCGUGUGCCUUUCAAUGGCUUCCAAGGAGAGUGACUUCCAAUGGUUGAAGCACCAAAAGCCAAUAGUACCGAAGAAAAUUCGAUACAUAAAGCCCUAGCUUUGGCACGAAAAGGUGAAGCUAUUUUCUAUGAAAUUUUAAGUGAGUAUUGAAUUUCUUAGAAAUGUUGGGUGAAGCUAUUUUUUAAGUUAUUUUCUAUGAAAUUUUAAGUGAGUAUUGAAUUUCUUAGAAAUGUUGGGCAAGUUGGAAUAUGGGCAUUUGGAAAAAUGGAGGUUUUAAUUGGUUUCUAUGAAGUGUGUUGAUGCACAAAACUGGAGGGGUCUUGGAACAACGUAAAUCCGACCGUGAAUCUGCAAGAAAGUAAAGAACACAAGAUGUAUCGUGGUUCACCCCAAUGUUUGGGCUACGUCCACACUGAUAUUGUAUUUCUCUGUUUGUGAGAGGAUUGUAAGGGUGAGUUCUUCCUGUAUGUGAGGAUGAAAGCCUUGUAAUGUGAGAGUGAGGCUUGAGGUUUGUGAGGGUGAGGAGGCCCUUUUAUAGAAUAAGGGCUCCUCACUUAUUACAUAUUUGCCCCUUCAUUCAUUACAUAAUUACAUUUGAGUCCCCCGAGUAUUUAUACGAGGUCUAAAUACUGAGACCCUAAGUAUGGUACAAACAGUAGUCCCCCAAGUCUUCAGUCAACAGAGUAUUUUGGCUGGAGACUUGAAAUUCAGUCCAUCUGUGGGCCGAAGUAACUAGAUGUCGUCUUGAACUGAUACUCGAUAUGAGGCGGUGCUCAAUAUGAAAUGAUGCUCAACUAAAAGUAGCACAUGUUGCGAGGCUGCUCGGUUUGUGGCUUAUGUUGCCUUGGUUGGCUCGGCUUGUGGCGUUGAAGGUGAGGGAGUUCAUUUUAUAGAAUAAGGACUCGCUCCUCAAUACAUAAGUGAUGGGUGCUCUCAAAUGAAAGUGAGGGAGCCCCUUUUAUAAAAUAAGGGCUCGCUCCUCAAUACAUAAGUGAUGGGUUAUGAGUGAUGCUCGCAGCGAGGUGGUUGCUCAACAGGCGGCGACGCUCUCUAAUGAGGGUAAGGGAGUCCCUUUUAUAAAAUAAGGGCUUGCUCCUCAAUACAUAAGUGAUGAAUUAGGAGUGAUGCUCGCGGCGAGGCGGUUGUUCAACUGGCGACGAUGCUCUCUAAUGAAGGUGAGGGAGUCCCUUUUAUAAAAUAAGGGCUCGCUCCUCUGUACAUGAAUAAUGGGUGCUCUCUAAUGAAAGUAAGGGAGUCCCUUUUAUAGAAUAAGGGCUCGCUCCUCAGUACAUAAAUAAUGGGCUAAGUCCCCUAAGUAUUUUUCAUGAGGCCCAGUUGAGGCCCAAUAAAUGGUACAUAAUGUAGUCCCCCAAGUCUUCAGUCAAUAGGGUCUGCUGGCUGGAGACUUUAAAUUGAAUCCAUGUAUGGGCCGAAGUGGCGGUUGUUCGGAGGCGGUAUUUGUAUACCCUGCAUUGAAGCUUUGUAGGUGAAGCUUUGCAAGUGAAGCUUUGAAGCUAGAGCUCUGUAAAUGAAGCUUUCGAAACUGGAGCUUUUGUAAAUGAAGCUUUUGAAGCUGGAGCUUUGUAAAUGAAGGUUUCGAAGCUAGAGCUCUGUAAAUGAAGCUUUUGAAGCUAGAUUGACAUGAGUGAUGCUCAUGAAUGUUUAUGUUGAUUGAGUGAUGCUCAUGGAUGUUGACAUGAGUGAUGCUCAUGAAUGUUAACAUGAGUGAUGCUCAUGAAUGUUGACAUGAAUGAUGGUCAUGAAUGUUUAUGUAUGAUUGACAUGAGUGAUGCUCAUGAAUGUUUAUGCAUGAUUGACAUGAGUGAUGCUCAUGUAUAAUUUUGGAGUACUGGACGUACUUUUGAUCACCUGGUUGGUGAUAAUAACGGUAGGCUGCCGAAUAAUUUUGAAGUACUGGGCGUACUUUUGAUCACCUGGUUGGUGAUAAUAGCGGUAGGGUGCCGAAUAAUUUUGGAGUACUGGGCGUACUUUUGAUCACUUGGUUAGUGAUAAUAGGGGCAGUGUGCCGAAUAAAUUUGGAGUACUGGACGUACUUUUGAUCACCUGGUUGGUGAUAAUAGUGGCUGGGUGCCAAAUAAAUUUGAAGCCAUAGCGCCUGGCUCUUUUGGGCAUAUGGGUCUUUGCCCUCCACAUAACUGUGAACACGAAAUUUUCCUGAAACGAAAGAGACAAGAACAACGUGCACAAAAUAAUGUUUGUAUUUGAUGAUUUUGGGUUACAAUCUCUCUCAAAUUUGAUCAUCUGAUUCGAUCUCCAUAAGGUGUUGAUUUGUGGAUGUGCGAUUGAUCCAAAGGGUCGUUGGGCUUGAUCUAAGGAUGAACGUUCUUCAAGGGCCGUGGGCUUGAUCUUGAAGGUGGAUUUGAGCGGAUCUUCAAGGAGCCGUUGGGGCUUGAUCUUGAGGAUGAGCGUUUCUUCAAGGGUCGUUGAGGCUUGAUCUUGAAUAACGGUGAUGAACGGAUCUUCAAGGGGCUUUUGGGGUUUGAUCUUGAAGAACAGUGAUGAACGGAUCUUCAAGGGCUUUUGGGGUUUGAUCUUGAAUUGGUGGAAGUUCUUCAAGGGCCUUUAGGGCUUGAUCUUGAAGGUGGAAGUUCUUCAAAGGGGUUGUCGGGGCUUGAUCUUGAAAGAACGAUGAACGAAGAACGAAGAAGGCUUUCUUGAUUCUUUGGGAUGAAUGGAUGAUGAACGAUGAACACUUUCUUCAAGGGCCGUCGGGGCUUGAUCUUGAAUUGGUGGAAGUUCUUCAAGGGCCUUUGGGGCUUGAUUUUGAAUUGGUGGAAGUUCUUCAAAGGGGUCGUCGGGGCUUGAUCUUGAAGGUGGAAGUUCUUCAAAGGGGCCGUCGAGGCUUGAUCCUGAAGGUGGAUGAUUAUUGAUCCAAGGGUCGUCGGGGCUUGAUCUUGGAAGAACGAUGAACGAAGAACGAAGAAGGCUUUCUUGAUUCUUCGGGAUGAACGGAUGAUAAACGAUGAACACUUUCUUCAAGGGCCGUCGGGGCUUGAUCUUGAAUUGGUGGAAGUUCUUCAAGGGCCUUUGGGGCUUGAUCUUGAUUUGGUGGAAGAUUGUUGAUCCAAGGGCUGUCGGGGCUUGAUCUUGGAAGAACGAUGAACGAAGAACGAAGAAGGCUUUCUUGAUUCUUCGGGAACCUGGAUGCUUGAGAGCUUCGGAGUUUCAGAGCUUCAGAGCUUCAAGGUGUAAUAUGAAUUGGUCCUCUCAAAUGCAUGAAAUUGGCUUCUAUUUAUAGAAUUUUCCAAGGCCUAAUUUUGAAUAUAAUAUUCCAGAUGAAAUAAGUCGUUUCUGCCAGGUGUUGACAUGUGUCCUGUUUGAUGACUUUUCCGACUCAUUUCAAAUUUUCGUCUAGUCACAUGCUACGUGUAAAAUUUAUGUAAUACAUGAGCGUUGAAACUUUGAUUUAUCGGUCAACAUUUAUUUACCAAAAUUUCGAUGUCUACAAUAACAUUCUAGCCCAUUAUUUUGGGCUUGCCUUUUUUUUUAUAAUUAUUAUUACCCUCUGAUAGGGUUAUACAGAUGUCUUCGAAAGAUAAGAAAAAUAAAUCAUAUCAUUCAAAAUAAAUCCGACCCUCUGCUCAAUGGGUCAUGCCCAUAAUUCCCUUUUCUGCAUGCCAUCACCACCGCAAUUAUGUUUGCUUCUUUUUAUCUUCUUUUGCUUUCUGCUUUCGUUUCCCACUCCAUUUCCAAACAUCCUUUUGCCUUUUCUUUUCUCUUUUCUUCCCAUUGCAGGUUUACAGCAUGGGGUUUGGUCAGCAGGCAUGAUAGGCUCCUUUUAUUCCUUGCUUUUGUAGAUUUACGUGCCUAUUAUCCAUAGCUUUUCUGUGGGUGGUCGACAAAGUAAAGAAAGCACCAAAUGCAAUUAUUGAAUUGCUUCAGCUUUCAACUAAAGAAAGCAUAAUUCUUUCAUUUCUCUCUCUUUCCAGUAAACCCAAAGAACUCACGCUACUCUGAACGUGCUUCCACCGCAAAAUCUCCACCAAGAAAUGAGGAAGGGUUCAGGUAGGUAGUUGAAGACGCUGAUGACCAAGUUAUCGUUUGUCACAGCAUCGAUCUGAGGCCUUGGAAAUUGCCCAUUGAUUAAGAUCCCUUGUCACCAUAUGUGACUUUCCAAGUGAAAAAUCUAUAAGGGUCUUCACCAUUAACGCCAUUGACGAGAAAAAGAACCAAGAAAAUGGAAAAAGAAAGAAACUUGCUGUCUCUCAUUUUUUUCUGCAAAACCAGAAUUUACUGAAAGAAUGUGGCUUUGUUUAUAAAGUAGAUCUAGAGAGAGAAAGAGAUAGAGAGAGAAAGCAUUCAAGUAGAAUGGUGAAGACCAAAUCUAACCGUGAAUCUUUCUCAAACAAUCUCUUUCUAUGUUCACCAAUGUGGUGCUGCUUCUGUGCUUCGAGGUCUCCGUCCCGGUCUUGAGGACAUACACUAACGACUUUAUAGCUUCGGCAUUGGUGAUUAUUGCCUUGUUCGAUUCGUGCAGUGAGAGGUUAAACAGCACUGUGAUGGCGUGCUCCUAUGUCCACGGAUCGCUGCACCGCAACAGAGAAAUUAGAGCAGGGACGGCUCCGGACUCGCCAAUCAAGAUGCGAUUGUCAGCUCGAUUCUUCGCUAAAAGCCUGAGCUUGGCCGCAACAGAUUGCUUCAUGGCAUGCAACGGCGAUUGGAGGUCGUCGACGCAGAUCUUGACCAUCGGUUGAAGAUCCUCCAGCGAAAUGCUUUCGAUGGUACAAACAAGAGAUACCCAGAUGAGGAAAUGCAACUGGAGUUACUGGGUUUUUGGUGGCUGUGCUGGGUUUGUGGUACCAGAGGUGGAUGUGUGGUUUCAAUUCUCUGGGAGAGGUUCUUCUGGAGUGUUAUUAUUGUAUAUAGAACGAGGGGAGAGACAUAAACGAACAAAAGAGAGGUUGAAAAAGACAGGGAUUUGAGGAGAGAGAAAGAGAGAGUCUAGAGAGAGAAAGAUAGAGAUUGGAAGAGCCAGAGAGAGAGUCUUCAUUUCUGCAUUUUUUAGAGAUGGGUUUUGCAGUGACUUUGGUUCCUGGGUUUCUGCAGAUUCACAGUGGAGGUGAAAACAUAAAAGAGAACCGACACAACUUUUCGUAUCGAUUCCCAUAGAUGGCACCAAAUGUUGAUGCACAAAACUGAAGGGGUCUUGGAACAACGUAAAUUCGACUAUGAAUCUGCAAGAAAGUAAAGAACACAAGAUGUAUCGUGGUUCACCCCAAUGUUUGGGCUACGUCCACACUGAUAUUGUGUUUCUUUGUUUGUGAGAGGAUUGUGAGGGUGAGGGCUUCCUGUAUGUGAGGAUGAGAGCCUUGUAAUGUGAUAGUGAGGCUUGAGGUUUGUGAGGGUGAGGAGGCCCUUUUGUAGAAUAAGGGCUCCUCACUUAUUAUAUAUUUGCCCCUUAAUUCAUUACAUAAUUACAUUUGAGUUCCCCGAGUAUUUAUACGAGGUCUAAAUACUUAGGCCCUAAGUAUCAUACAAACAAAGUGGGUUUUGGAAUUGGAAUAUCGGUUAGGAUAUUGGCUUGGUGAAUUUUGAUGAUUUGAGUGUGAAUGGAUCCAAAGGGCUGCCACAAAAUUCUUGCUCUACAUCUUCUCUGCAAUCACCUUGGCCUACUUGCAAUCCAUCACCUUGGACUUUGUUUGUUUAUAGUUUGAACUGUGAGGUUGAAGGCGAUAGUAAGGAAGGGAGGGAUGAGGAAGAAUGAUAGGGGGGGAGGGUUGGAUUCUUGAUGCUCUUUGGUAUAUAUGCCACCCACCUUCAAAUCCAUCUAAAUCAUUCCUUUAUUGAAAUCCUAACAAAUCUUUGAUAUUUUCACUACACUUGAAUUUAAUUGUAUUCUUUACAAUUGUAAUUGACUACUCCUGGAUUUUGAUGUAUUUUCAAAAUCCUUUUAAAUCCUAAUUUGACUACAUUAUGAUUUCAAAGUCCUUUAAAAUCUUUUUUUUUUAUGAAAUCUAAUUGAUUACAUCCGGAUUUUGAAGUCUAUUAAAAUUCUAUCAAAUUCUAAUUUGACUACACCCUCCUAAGAUUCUCUUCUCUGCUAAUUUUUCUCUCAUUUCCUCUCCUCAUAUUUGAACUGUUACAAUUAAACUAUGUCAAUUUGUGUUAACUUCUUUAUAGAGAACUAAAGGCAAAACAUGUGAGAGAAGCAAAUAGAAAGGAGUAGGGGAGAAAAUUUAUUCUAAGCACUAGGGUAAGACAUAGUAUAAAUCAUUCGCCAAAAGAAAAAAAAUAUAUACAUAUAUAAGUAUGAUAAAUUUAGUCCAACAACUACAAAUAGGGAACCUCUUUAAAAGUUAUAAUAAAUUUAGCUGUUGGAUCAAAUUUUAAUGGUUUGGAUGAGUGAACUUGGUAGAAGGAAUUUGAAGAGGAUCCAUUUCCAUCCUCAUACGACUACAAACCUUUUCAUCCUUGGUAAUACUAAUUGGCAUGUGACACCUGUCUUGGUUGGUUGGCCUCUUAUGGGGUUUUAUUUGUUUAAGUUUAUCUUGGGAUAUUUUUGUUAUUUUAAUAUAUUGACCAAGUUCUUAGAGUAUCAUAAUUAUAAGGCUAAAUUACAUUUUCAUACCUCAGGUUUGGGGCCUAUUUUUAAUUCCUUACAACAUCUUCAAAACAUUUCACUUUUAUACCUUAAGUACUAUUUUAUUUCAAAAUAAUACAUUCGUUACAUUUUCCAUCCAUUGAUCCGUUAAGUGUUGACGUGGUUGCCAAAUGUGUGCCACAUGGCAAAAAAAGUAACUUUUUUUUUUAAACCUGAAUUUUCUCAAAAAAAAAAAAAAAAAAAAACCCAUUAUCCCUUCCCCCAUCGACCCACAUCCCUGAAGAACCCAAAAACCUGCAGGAGGAAGAGGGAGGAAAAAAAAAUUACCCCAAAUCCAGUUCCCCACCUGCAAGAAGAAAAAGAAGAGAAAAAAAACUGCAAACCAUUUCGUCCCCCCCCUCAAUUCCCCACCUGCAAGAAGAAGAAGAAGAAAUAGAGGUGAGGGAGGAAAAAAAACCCAAACCCAUUUCCCCACCUGCAAGAAGAAGAAGAGGAAAAAAUAAAAAAUAAAAAUAAAACUGCAACCCCCCCCCCCCCCCCCCGCGCCCCCAGUUCCCCACUUGCAAGAAGAAGAAGAAGAAGAGGAAGAGGGACGAAAGAAUAAAAAAUAAAAACCCAAACCCAUUUCCCCACCUGCAAGAAAAAGAAGAGAAAAAAAAAAACAAACAAACUGCAAACCAGUUCGUUGUCCCCACCCCCUAGUUCCCCACCUGUAACAACAACAAGAAGAAGAGGAAGAGGAAGAACAAAAAAAAAAAAAAAAAAAACUGUAACCCAGUUUGUCCCCCACCCCCCCUAGUUCCCCACCUGCAACAACAACAAGAAGAAGAGGAAGAGGAAGAACAAAAAAAAAAAAAAAAAAAACUGUAACCCCAGUUUGUCCCCACCCCCCCCCCCCCCCGCCCCCCGGGUUACCCACCUGCAACAACAACAACAACAACAAGAGGAAGAGGAAGAAAAAAAAAAUGCAACCCAAUUCGUCCUCCACCCCCUAGUUCCCCACUUGGAAGAAGAAGAAGAGGAAGAGGGAGGAAAAAAUAAAAACCCAAACCCAUUUCCCCACUUGCAAGAAGAAGAAGAGAAAAAAACAAACAAACAAACUGCAACCCCCAGUUCGUCAUCCCCACCCCCUAGUUCCCCACCUGCAACAACAAGAAGAGGAAGAGGAAGAAAAAAAAAAAAAAAAAAAAAAAAACUGUAACCUAGUUCCCCCCCCCCCCAAUUCCCCACCUGCAACAACAACAACAACAACAAGAGGAAGAAAAAAAAAUGCAACCCAGUUCGCCCCCCCCCCCGUGGGACCCCGCGACCCACCUCCCUUGCAUAGAGACCCCCCCCCCCCCCCCCCCCCCCCCCCCCCGAAUCACACCUAAUGUCUGGUGGUUUUGUGGUAGAUUCAUCUUGAGGAUUUUGAGUUUCUCAAGUGGGAUUUUUUAGGGUGGGUGAUGGGGGAUUUUUGGGAGGGGUGAUGGGGGAUGGAAGAGAGGGGUGGCUCGGGUGGAAUUUUGGGGUGGGUAAUGAUGGGAGAAGGGGGUGGGUCAGGGAUGGGUUUUUUUAUGUUUUUUAUUUUUAUUUUUAUUUUUUUUUGAAAAUUCAGGUUUUUUAAAGAAAAAUUAAAAAAAAAUUGCCACGUGGCAGCCAUGUAGCAUAUAUGUGGCAACCACGUUAGCACUUAACGGAUCCAUGGAUAGAAAAUAUAAUGGAUGUAUUAUUUUGAAAUAAAAUAGUACUUAAGGUAUGAAAAUAAAAUGUUUUAAAGAUGUUGUAAGAAAUUGAAAUAUGAGGUAUGAAAAUGUAAUUUAACAUAAUUAUAAAGUUUCUCAUCAUUGAAGUUUUGAUUAGCUCAACUCCCCAAAAAUCCCAUUUCCUAUAGGCUUUUUUAGAGCCAUCAUAGGUAAGGCUCUAUUCCAAACGUGGAGCUCAAUAUUGAAAAUCAACACUAGUAAUCGUGUUAACCAUAAAGUUUGCUUUUCUAUAAAUAUAAGAGCAAGAAAUGCUAUCCUAACUAUGAUGAUAAUCUACUAUUGGAACUAUUUUCUUUGUUUAAAAGAUAACUUCCAUUCACCAUAUAAGAGAGGAUUGUAUAAGUGGGAGUAAAAUUUUCUUCUCUGUUAAUUUCUUUCCCAUUUUCUCUCUUCCUAUUUAAACCGUUACAAUUAAAUCACGUCAAUUUGUAUUGAAUUCUUUAUAGAGAACAAAAGAAUAUAUAUAUAUAUAUAUAUAUAUAUAUAUAUAUAUAUAUAUAUAUGGAAUUGUUAUUGGUAUUCCAAAAAUCUUAUUCUACACUCUAAACAUUUUAUAUUUGAAAAUAAAAAUACAAUUAUAAAAAUGUAAAAUAAGAUUUUUGAAAUGUCAAUAACACUUCUCUAUAUAUAUCUAUAUCUAUAUAUAAAAGUAUGAACUGGUUGUCCUCAAACGACUACAGACCUUUUCAUCCUUGGUAAUACUAAUAGGCAUGUGACACCUGUCUUGGUCUGUUGGCCUCUUAUGGGGUUUUAUUUGUUUAAUUUUAUCAUGGGAUAAUUUUAUUAUUUUUAUAUAUUGACCAAGUGAUUAGAGUAUCAUAAUUAAAAUUUUUAAAAAGUUUCUCAUCAUUGCAGGUUUGAUUAGCUCAACUUCCCAAAAAUCCCAUUUUCUAUAGAUAGUAUUUCUACUUGUUUAUUUUUACUUUCUCACAUACUGUUUAUUAAUUUUUCUGUUUUGAUUUUUUUUAAUUCAUCUAAUCUAACACUAAAAAAUUAAGAUAGACGUGUAAUAAAUACAAAAAGUGUGUGAAUAACACAACCUUUAUAUAUUUCCAUAAAUACAAAAGAUGUGUGAAUAACACAACCUCUAUAUAUUUCCAUUAAACAAGCAUUAUUAAGGAAGUAAAUGCAUAAUCUUUUUACAAACAAAAACGAUUACAAAUUAAGAAAAAAUUCAAUCAAUUUGAGAAGCUCAAGGCGUUUAUAAUAAAUUAUUUCUUAUACAAUUUCUUUUUUAGCUAAAUGAUUUUUUUAAGAAACUAGUUUAAACACAUCAUUUUUCUUCAUAUCCCAUACUUAUAUUUGACAACUAAAUCGAAUAAAGUAAAAAAAAAAGUAAUACACAAAAACAUACCGAUUACGCAAAUGGAGAAAAAAAAAGGGAACUAUAAGGAAAAGCUUCCGGUACUGUUCACUUUAACGAAAAAUCAUAUUUUUACACUAAAAAGUCAAUCCUGGUACUAUUCAUUUUACCCUUUAUUUUGUCCUUAUCGUUAAAACUCAAAAUUUUCAAAUUCUUUUCAUUAGUUUUCCUAAAAAAAAAUUGGGUAGAAAUCAUUUUUUUAAUCUUUUUUACUAUAAAAAACAUUUUGACCUAUCUUAAUACAAUCCCUAAUUCCCCGUAUCCAAUUUCUUCUUGAGAAAGGUAAGUCCAAAUCAUGACAUAAUAUGCUACCAAAUUUAGACCCACCAAUUAUCACACAACCAAAAACUAUAUAAUAAAACCACAUCUACAUUUUAAAUACCUUUACACCGUCCUAAUGCCAGUGGGCCCCAUUCCGAAACUUCCUUUGAUUUGAUUGGUUCUUAAUCCUUCCAAAACCUCAAUAUUUCGAGAGAUUUUUUAUUGUGACCUACAUACAAGGUGGUAUACUAUGUCAUUAUAUAAAUUGUGGAAUAUAUGUGCUAAAAAGUUAAUAACUUGAAUACUUACAUAAAAAUAUGUGAUAUACUACUCGUAUUUCCGUCAUAAUAAAAAAUUUCUCCAAAAUUUCAACCAUUUCCCACACAUUCCUUUAUGUUUCAAAAAAAGUCUGGCAUUUUAAAAGCCAUUUCUGGAAUUCCGGUGCUUUUAAUACAACGCAACUACCUCAGCGUCCUCUCAAGCUGUCAACCUUCCCCCUCCCUCCUUCAAAUUUCUCUCGUUUUCUCUCACUUUGUGUCACUUUCUCACCAGCCAAACACAGUCACCACAGAACCAAAUUCGAAUUCAAAUAAAAAACUGGAUAAAACCCAUUUCGUAAAGCGCCUCGAACAACAAAACCCACCUCUGUUUUUCUCCAUUGGAGUUGAAAAAAUGAAGCCCCCGAAGAUGAUUGUGUUACUGUUAUGUUGCCUUGGUGUUUUCAUGGCUGCGAAUUCUGAUCUGGCUUCCGACAGAGAUGCCUUGCUGGCGCUCAGAACCGCCGUGGGAGGCCGUACAAUGGGCUGGAACGUGACGGAGACCAACCCCUGUUCGUGGCUCGGCGUCAAAUGCGAGUCGGACCGGGUCACCGAGUUGCGGCUUCCUGGUUGGGCAUUAGUUGGGCAGCUUCCUUUGGGUCUCGGAAACUUAACCCAGCUUUUGACCCUCUCUCUGCGCGUAAACGCGCUCUCCGGUCCACUACCGAACGACCUUGUCAACCUAGUCAACCUCAAGAAUCUCUACUUGCAAGGUAACUCGUUUUCCGGUCCAAUUCCUGAGUUUUUGUUCAAAUUGAAAAGCCUUAUGAGAUUGAACCUUGAGAAAAAUAAAUUCUCCGGCGAAAUCUCGUCGGCGUUUAAUAAUUUGACGAGUUUGGUAAGUCUGCAUUUGGAGGUGAAUCAGCUUACUGGGUCAAUUCCUGAGCUGGGUUUGCCAUCUCUUGGACAAUUCAACGUUUCCUUUAACCAGUUGAACGGGUCGGUUCCUUCGAAGCUUUCGGGUUGGCCUGAAAACGCGUUCAAGGGGAAUUUGCUUUGUGGGAAGCCGUUGAAGGCCUGCAAUGGGACUGAGAAUGCUGGGAAGAAGAAUAAGUUGGCUGGUGGGGCAAUUGCAGGGAUUGUGAUUGGUAGUAUUAUUGGGUUCUUGGUGAUAGUUGCCAUUGUGAUAUAUUUGUGCCGAAGAAAGAAAAAUGGGGAAAAAGGUACAAACUUUGCUGUGCCGGGGAAGCCUCAGGAGGCUGAAACCUCCCGUGGAAAGGUGGUGCUGGAUAGGAGUUCGAGUACUGAUUAUUCAUCUGCAUCAAAAGGGAGUGUGAAGAGUGGUGGUGGGAAUAAGAGUUUAGUGUUCUUCGGGCAUGUGGUGAAGGUGUUUGAUUUGGAGGAUUUAUUGAGGGCAUCCGCUGAGGUACUUGGAAAGGGGACAUUUGGAACUACGUACAAGGCAACUCUGGAAAUGGGGGUGUCAGUGGCAGUGAAGAGGUUGAAGGAAGUGGCUGUAUCAGAGAAGGAAUUCAGGGAGAAGAUUGAAGAGAUUGGGAGAAUGGAUCAUUCAAAUUUGGUCCCACUCAGGGCUUACUACUACAGCAGGGAUGAGAAGCUUUUUGUGUAUGAUUACAUGCCUAUGGGAAGCUUAUCUGCUCUGUUGCACGGUGAGCAUUUCAUGCAGGGGUUUCAUUCGUUGCAUUAUAUAAUGCAGCUAUUGUUUGAGUUGGUGUUUUCGCGUUUCUUUUUCUUGAAAUGGUUUUCUGUUGGUAUAUUAUGUUUAUUGCUUUUUUUCUUGACUGUGUUUCUCCAUUGGAUGGUUGUUUUGGUACAUUUUCUACGUCAACUGCAUCGUCUUUUUGUUGCCCCAAACAUGCAUGUCUAAAAUGAACCCUUCAAUUAGUAAUUAGACUAGUGUUGUGGAAGCCUUUUGUUUGUCACGGCUUGCUAUACAUUUAUAUACCAAACAGACAAAUCAAUACCUAUUUAAAAGACAAGGAAUAAAUAAUGAAAUCAUACUGAAUCCCGUCCGAGAACAACUAGGAUUGUGACCCAUCGCAGCUAUUUCUGUUACAUCAAAGAAGCAAAAUGCGAGUUCCUAAGAAAGUAUUUCGCAAUAUAGGCAUAGGAAGGCUGUUGUUAUUUGAUUACUGGUCUCUUGUAUUGGCUAGGAGAGUGGCAUUUGGUCCAAAUGCUAGCAGCACUUGCAUAGACCAGGUGCAAAAAUGCUGUAAGCUUCUGAGCUUUGGCGUCUCUGACUAUGUCUGUAUCUUUUAUUUUUGAAUUCAGUAUUCGUUCACAAUAAAUCACAUUGAAUGAGUAAAUGAUUAAGUUUUUAUUUGUUCUCUUUCUUAACCAUCUUUCUGUUAACAGUUCAUUUCUUUAUCUUUUCACUGCAGGAACCAGAGGUUCCGGAAGGACUCCAUUGAAUUGGGAAACAAGGUCUGGUAUUGCUGUAGGAGUUGCUCGUGCAAUUACAUACAUACAUUCUCAUGGUCCCACUACCUCCCAUGGAAACAUUAAAUCUUCAAACAUCCUUCUCACUAGAUCCUAUGAAGCCUGUGUUUCUGAUUUUUGCCUUGCUCAUCUUGCAAGCCCAACAUCUACUCCGAACCGCAUUUCUGGUUAUCGUGCCCCAGAACUCACAGAUACUAGCAAAGUAACCCAAAAGGCAGAUGUUUAUAGUUUUGGCGUAUUGCUUUUGGAGAUACUUACAGGAAAGCCUCCAACCCAAACUAUCAUGAACGAGGAAGGAGUAGACCUUCCAAGAUGGGUUCACUCAGUGGUUCGAGAGGAGUGGACUGCUGAGGUGUUUGACUUCGAGCUUCUCAGGUACCAGAAUGUUGAGGAGGAGAUGGUUCAGCUUUUACAGAUUGCACUCGAAUGUACAGUUCAGUAUCCUGAUAGCCGCCCUUCAAUGGGUGAGGUGACUAGCCGAAUCGAGGACCUUUACAGUUCUAGUUUAAAGCACGAACAAGAUGCGAAUCCUGAUAUCUCAUGAUGUGGACGAUGGCUUUCUCAGCAGUAUUUAUCAACUGACACGCGCAUACCACCGUGAGUAAUGAACAAAGAUCAGCAUUCUUUUCUGCAUUGCUCUUCUGGUCAGGCAUAAUUUGUUUAUUCUUGAGUUUAUUUUGAGCAAAAAUUAUAGCCGGGAUCAUGUCUCUUUCUCUUUAUCGUUUUCACCUUCAUAUUUAUUUGGAGGUGGAUUGUCUGCCCUCCCAUUUCCAUACUCUUCUCAUCCUCUCUUGUUUGUAUGGUCACGGUUAAGCCACAUCAAUAUUUUAUAUUGAUUUUUUUUUAUAAAAAUAAUAAAACAAAAAUUAAUAGGAAUAUAAAUUGUUGACGUGGCUUAACCGUGAUCACACAAAACAAGAAGGGAUGAGAAGAGUAUGGAAAUGAGAGGGUAGACAAUCCACCUCCUAUUUAUUUUAUCAGUAGCACUCUUCUUUACCCCCUGUAUAUUAUUGUUUAUGCUGUAUGUGGAGGGGGAUAUCUGUAAUACUGUUAUUUGCGAAUCUGAGUUUGCCUUGUAGUGUUGUGCUCUCACCACUUCUGUUCCUCUUAGCUUUGAGCUCGAUGCAAAUUUUAUUGACUGAAAAAUGCUUCAUUUGCUUUCUAAAGUUGUGUAUUUGCCUUUAUUUGUCUUUAAUUUCAGCUAAAUCAAGCACUCUCUCUUUGCUUGGAGAAUAAUCUUAUUAGAUGGUUUUGAGUACUUUGGUGAUUUGAGGGUUCUCUUCUUCUCUGGGAUCCUAUUGUUGUGUUAGUCCACGCGAUGAGCGAAAUAUGGUGAUAGCCAAAUUGGGAUGUGGAAUUUUCUGACAUGGGUAAAUUAAACUAGAGUAAAUAUUCAGGCGGUUUAAAAGUAGUUAUUGAGGAAAUUGAAGCAAUGGUCUUUUAAUUUUAAUUUAAUUGGAACAAUGGUUUCUUAAUUAAAAAUUUAUGACCAUUGAUCUCUUAACUCAUCAAGACUUGCAACUAUGCUCAUUUUCGUCAACUUUGUUACAACCUCCGUCAAAAUUAGCUAUGUGCCACCCACGUGAAGCUGCAUCAAGGGACAAACAAGAAAAACAAAAUUAGAAAACUGUAGCAAUGGUCCCUCAAUAUUAAUUCACUUGGAGCAAUGAUCUCUUAACUUUAACCCAGUCGGAGUAAUGAUCUUUCAACUUUAACCCAAUCAUAGUUUCGUCCUUCUAACAUGACUCAUUCUGAUGGAAUUCUGAUGGGGUUAACAAAAAUGACCAUAGCAACACAUUUUCAUGAAUUUUUAGUUAAGAGACCAUUACUCCAAUUAAGUUAAAGUUGAUAGACUAUUUCUACAAUUUUCUCUUACAAUUAGACAGCUGAUGAUAUUGGUUUUUUAAAUUUUCCUCAACUAAAAAUACAUCAAUAUAUUUGCAUUAACGGGUGGCAGGAAACAAAUUAGUAUGGAAUACAACCUUCACGAAAUCUUUCGAGAAGAGAAUUACCUCGGAUUCGGGAAGGGAGACCAAUAUUGACCCUGACGUCUUUGGAUGACAUGUAGUCUAUGAUGGAACAUAAUUUAAAGUAUUUAUGAUGAGGAUGAAGAUGUAGACUAUGGGCACUACCAUCCCAUCAGGUUACCGUACCGCCGCCUCAUUCUUAACAUGAAAUGGGUGUUCAAUGCCCAUCUUUAUUUAUCGUGACGAUGUCACAUUGAUAAAAAGUUUAUAAGAGAGAAUAUAAAAUUUAAUAGCAAAUUUUAAUUUUUUUAGUUGUUUUAAUUUUUUUAAAUUUUUAUUAAGAUGCUCUUACUUGAGCCACCUCAGUUUAAUUGAGUUUGAUUUACAUUUUCAUAUCUAAUACAUAUUUAUAAUAAUUUCAACUGUAUUUAAAUCUAAUAUUUAUUUUAUUUUAUUUUAUUCAAAUCAAAACGUACCCAUGCUAAACGAAUGUAACUGUGAAAAUUGAAAAUGAAAACGUAUCAACGUCAAAGGAAAACGUACCAACCCCGAAUUUACCUUACUAACACAGAAUUGAAACGUAUCCAAUCAUGAAACCACAUUAAAAAUGAAUAUUUCAUCUUUUUGGAAUAAUUUAAGAAUGUGUUUGAUAUGUAGAAAAUGCACUAGAUAAUAUUGUUUUCUAGUAAAUAAGUCUGGAACAACUUUUAAUUAAAUUGAAGAUAAAUCUUAUUUUUUUUCAUUAUGAGGAUAAAUUAUGUAGUUUUGAAUUAACAAAAAAGCUAUUGGACAUUGAUUAGUAUAAAAAUGUUAAAAAAAAAAAAAAACUUUAAGAUAAAUAUUUAAUCUAGGAAAUUCAAAACUCAAGCUUCUGUAUUAAAUGCUGGGUGAUAGAAUUAUGCAAAGAACCAGUUAAGAACUUGAGAGAGGGAGAAGGAGGGUAAAAAAAAAAAAAAAAAAAAAAAAAAAACAAAGAACAAAACAGGGGAACAGCGGUCGGUCAUCACAAAGGGGAAGCUAAAAAGCAGACAGAGAUUGAUAAAAGGAAAGGGAUCAGCAGUGGGCCCAAGUUUCCUCCUCUUCUCUCACCCAAAACCUCAUUUGUUUUCGAAAAAUGGGUUUGCUGGAUUCCUUCCUCAAUUGGCUCCGCAGGUAACCUCUUCUGCUUCUUCUUCUUCUUCUUCUUCUUCUUUUGUGUUCUUUGUUUCGUUAAUUUGUUUGUUGAGUUUUUGGAUUUGUUUGUAUUGGGAUGUGUGUUCUGGUUCACUGAUUUCUGUGAUCAACUUUGUAUUUUCAAGAUUUGAGGUUCAAAAAGUUGGUUAAUUUGAGAACUUCAUAUGCUAUGCCAAGUUGCUAACAAUCAAUAAAUGGUAAAAUCGAAACCCGAAAGUGAUUGCUUCAUUGGUGGCUUUGUUUUGGUUGAAUCUGUGUGUUGCGCUGAGCUAUGUUCAAUUUCAGUAUGCUUUCAUUUCACUCUCAAAUUAGGUUGCUUUUUGGCUUUGUGACUCCAAUGGUUCAAGCAGAGUAGUUAAAUAAUGAAAAUUAAGACGAUUUUCUUACGGUGCAAUUUGCUGCUGAAAAGAUAUAUGGAACCAGAAAAGUUUAGGAAUUUGAUCUUUUUGUUCUUGUCAAAAUUGCAACUUUGUGGCUGUUUUUCUGAUUGAGGCUAUCUUCAUUGUUAAAACCAUAAUGGCAACACCUGCAAAGGUGAAUUUCAAUCUCCCGAGACUAAAAUCCAUGCGAUUGCAAAAAGAUAUUAUUGGUGGGAGAGAUAUCAUGUUGAUACCGUUAUACUUUUCAUUUUACUCCUCCCUCCCUAAAUUUCCAAGGGGAAAAGAACAUGGUUCAAUAUAUGUUUGAAGUAGCUUUAUUGUUACUUGAAGCUAAAUAAACCCUUAUUGGAGCCUUCCGCAGCGUAUCUACAGAACCGAAAGACAAAUUAUGCUCUUUUUUAAGAUAAGCAAACUAUUGUCUGUGCGCCAGUAUGAAUUUUGAAGUUUUAAUUGCAUUACUGCAUAAAUAUUGGAAACAUUCAGUUAUCUGUUUUAGGGAAUUAAGUUGAGAGAAAAAAAUUUCUUCCACUCUUUAUGUUUGUCAAUGGAUUUUGCUCCUUUGCUUUAUGAGUUAGGUACUUCAUCAUAUGUCAUUAAGUUCCACUAUUACGGGUAGAUUUCUGAGCUUCAUGAGGUUAGACAAUCACUAGCUCUAAUCUGCUUCUCAUUUCUUUUCAUGUCCGUAAUGGGAUGCAAAACAAUGAUAGGGAACACUAUUUAUUCAAAACACCAAGUUUGAAAGUAAAAUUAUAGCAGAUAAACACAUGCGUUGCUUUGAGACGUGCCAGCAAGCUGUGGCAUAGCAUAAACGCAGGGUGCAAAGAGCAGGACCAAUUUGAAAGGAAUGUGGGGCAGAUUGCAGUGGCAUUUCAGUGUAAAGCAUGCCGCUGUAUGAAGGGGUCGCAGCCUCAUGUGAAAGGCAAGACCAUGGAUGGAGGAGGAAGCAAAUGAUUGCGGUUGCUAUGUUAGUGUGGCAUGGCAUGGGCAGCUGGGCAGCAGCAUUCAAGCCAUUGCAAGGAGGCAGUUCAGUAGCAGACAGGGCAUGGGCUGGGCAUGUAUUGGGUGUCACCUGGGUGUGUACCAUGCACAGCAAUGUGCUUAGGGUUCAUGGCUUGCGUUUGGAAGGCUGUAAUCCUGCAAAACAUGCCCUGGGUGAAGGCUACACAAGGCAACACAAUGCCGUGGUGCUGGCUGCUAGCCGAGACAUAUGUAAGAGGUGGCUACCUUAUUUCGAGGAACGAUCAUGUGGAUGAUUGUUGCAGGAAGUAACUUCCAUGAGAUGCUGGCCCAUCUCCAACAAGGUUGGUGCCAGCAAUACCCUAGCUACUGGGGAUGUCAAUUGCAAGCCUUCUUGUUGAAUUCUAGUUGGUCCAGCUAACUCGGGCAGUUGGGGGUAGCAACUACAUGAAUUUCGGAGUCCUAUACCCCUUAAAAUCAGUCUCAUAUGUGUUCUUUAGGUUGCUGUUUCAUUCAUUCUUAACCACAGUAAGGGAGCGUUAGAGUGGUCAACGAGGGAGGCGUCCUACUGCCACCAAAGAGGUGAAAAGUCAUAGAAAAAUUUAGCAUAUUAAGCAAGACAAGAGCAGUUCCCUCAUUGGUUACACACUUCAAUCUAGUUCCUUGAGUCAUAUGUUCUUGAGGAACUCCUUCGAAAUACUUAUAUGUUGAUUUCACAGUUUUGAUAUCGAAUUUUCUACACUUAAAUGGGGUACGCAUUGCGAGAGGUCGCACUUGGUGCGAUGGCAAGUGCCUUCGCCCAUGAGCGGUAGGUCUCGGGUUCGAGACUUGGGAGCAGCCUCUCCAUAAAUGGGGGUAAGGCUAGCCGACAUUCACCUCUCCCAGACCCUGCGUAAAGCGGGAGCCUUGUGCAUUGGGUAAAUGGGGUACGCAUUGCAUAUUUAUAUAUAGGUCUUAGGUCAGGGACAAAUUUGAAUCAACUUGUGGGUAAAUGAAUGAGAUGUAUAGUGAGAACUGAGGGCCCUCAGUAGAGCAUGAUCAUGAGCACAGAGAAGACCUACAAUUCUCUUAAAAACAACUGAGCACUAAACUAUUGGAUUCUUAUCGAAGUUCUAAUGCACAAAAAGAAGAAGAAAAGACAAAAAGAAGUAUAUAAUCUUAACAUGCAAGUUCAAAAGUUCGUACAAAAACUUUGGAACUUGUAAUUCAUGUUAUCUUAAAAUCUUUUUUAAAUCAAAUCAUAGAAUGCUAAAACAAGCAAGUUUCAGAAGGAAACUUAAAAUUUUAAAAUUUCCAAUUUAUCAGAAUCCUGAUACAAACUCCGCCUAUGUAAGUUUAUCUUACAUUGGCGGUCCCAAGCCCGGGUAAAGGAGGAGGGGGAGGGCGUCAGGUAGUCGACAGCAGGCACUCCACAGUUACGUCGAAUCCUUAUGAAAAUGAAUUCAGAACGAAAUCGCGCUAAAGCUAGGGCGUCACCCGUAAGUGGCGCGCUGUGUGGCCCGAGCACAGUGAUAAGUGAGCAAGGGUCGCUGUAUCUCCAUAGGCACCCGGAUGCAGUGUUAAAUGAGCAAGGGGGCCAUAGAAACUUCUUUUCGAACGACUCCACUCAAAGUUGUUUGGGAGCAUAUGCACCUAUCAACUUUACAUGGGACACACAAAAGAAGUACUUUUAUUCCAUUGGACGGGGGAGGGUGAAGAAGCUAGGACAGAAGGGUAGAGUUCAGGAGAGUAGAAUGCGUUUAGGAACGUGGAAUAUAGGAACCUUAACGGGAAAAUCUAUGGAAGUAGUGGAAGUUAUGGUGAGGAGAAGGAUAAAUAUUAUGUGCCUACAAGAAACUAAGUGGGUUGGUCUUAAGGCAAAGGAUCUAGAAAACUCAGGGUUUAAACUUUGGUACUCGGGCACAAAUAGAACGAGAAACGGUGUUGGCAUCAUCGUGGACAAGACCUUGACACAAGAUGUUGUAGAUGUCAAGAGGGUAGGAGAUAGAAUCAUGGCAAUCAAGAUUGUAAUAGGACAAGAACUUAUCAAUGUGAUUAGUGCGUACGCACCUCAAGUAGGGUUGGAUAUGAGUUCGAAGGAGAAAUUUUUGGGAAGACCUUGGAGACUUGGUGCAAGGAAUUGCUCAGACGGAGAAGUUAUUUAUAGGAGGAGAUUUAAAUGGACGCGUGGGCAGGGAGACAGGCAACUAUGGAGGUUUUCAUGGUGGCCAUGGUUUUGGGGAGAGAAACGAGGAUGGGGAAGCUAUCUUGGAUUUUGCAAUGGCAUAUGAUCUCUUCUUAGCCAACACCUUCUUUAAGAAGAGAGAAGAACAUGUGAUCACCUACAAGAGUGGGUCGUCAAAAACACAAAUAGAUUUUCUUCUAAUGAGGAAAGGGGAUCGUAUAACUUGUAAGGAUUGCAAAGUUAUACCAGGAGAGAGCGUGGCUAAUCAACAUCGCUUGUUGGUGAUGGAUGUACAUAUCAAAAGAGUGAGAAAAAAGAACAAAGACUUGGAAGUGCCCAAGGACUAGAUGGUGGAAUCUAAAAGAAGAAAAACAAGUCAUUUUCAAAGAGAAAAGUAAUCACCCAGUGUGUGGGAUAGAGAGGGGAAAGCUAGCCAAAUGUGGGAUUCAAUGGCUAGUUGUAUCCGAAAAAGUAGCAAAAAGAGGUAUUAGGAGAGUCCAAGGGCUUUGCCACAUACCAAAAGGAAUCUUGGUGGUGGAAUGAGGAGGUACAAACAAAGGUGAAGGCUAAGAAGGAAUGUUGUAAAGCCUUAUACAAGGAUAGGACCGAUGAAAAUGGUGAAAGGUAUAGAAAAGCGAAGCAAGAGGCGAAGAAAGCUGUGAGAGAAGCUAAGUUAGCGGCUUAUGACGAUAUGUAUAAGCGACUAGAUACCAAAGAAGGAGAGUUGGAUAUCUAUAAACUAGCUAGAGCAAGGGAAAAGAAGACAAGGGACCUAAACCAAGUGAGGUGCAUCAAGGAUGUGGAUGGAAAGGUUCUUGCUACAGAGAACGCGGUUAAAGAUAGAUGGAGAGGUUAUUUUCAUAAUCUUUUCAAUGAAGGACAUGAAAGGAGUGCUUCUUUAGGGGAGUUGAGUAACUCAGAAGAGUGUAGAAACUACUCUUUUUAUCGUCGAAUCCGGAAGGAAGAAGUGGUUGUAGCUUUGAAGAAGAUGAAGCAUAGAAAAGCAGUAGGCCCAGACGAUAUACCAAUCGAAGUGUGGAAAGUUUUGGGAGAGAUAGGUAUAACAUGGCUCACUGACCUUUUCAAUAGGAUUUUGAAAACGAAGAAGAUGCCAAAUGAGUGGCGAACGAGCACUUUGGUGCCUAUCUACAAGAAUAAGGGCGACGUACAAAAUUGCAUGAACUAUAGGGGUAUUAAGCUAAUGAGUCAUACAAUGAAGCUUUGGGAGAGAGUCAUUGAGCAUAGAUUGAGGCAAGAGACACGGGUUUUCGGACAACCAAUUCGGGUUCAUGCCAGGGCGCUCAACCAUGGAGGCAAUCUAUCUCUUACGAAGAUUGAUGGAAAGAUAUAGAGAUGGGAAAAAGGAUUUACACAUGGUCUUUAUAGAUUUGGAAAAAGCAUAUGAUAGGGUCUCAAGAGACAUUCUUUGGAGGAUUUUAGAGAAGAAAGGAGUACGAGUAGCAUAUAUCCAAGCUAUAAAGGAUAUGUAUGAAGGAGCAAAGACUGCCGUAAGAACUCAUGAAGAACAAACCGAAAGCUUUCCCAUAACUGUAGGAUUACAUCAAGGCUCAUCCUUAAGUCCUUACCUUUUUGUGUUGGUAAUGGAUGAGUUAACAGGACAUAUUCAAGAUGAUAUUCCUUGGUGUAUGCUUUUCGCAGACGAUAUAGUGUUGAUAGAUGAAACUUAGGAAGGGGUAAAUGCAAAGCUUAACCUUUGGAGAGAAUUGUUGGAAUCUAAAGGUCUUCGCCUAAGCCGAUUAAAGACAGAAUAUAUGGAGUGCAAGUUCAGUGCAAAUGGAAGCCAAAACGAGUUAGGGGUGAGGAUCGGAGAUCAAGAAAUACCAAAGAGCGAUCGUUUUCGUUACCUAGGAUCUAUCUUGCAAAAGAGCGGAGAAUUAGAUGGAGAUCUCAACCAUAGAAUACAAGCUGGAUGGAUGAAGUGGAAGAGUGCAUCCGGCGUGUUGUGUGACCGCCGUAUGCCACUGAAGCUCAAGGGAAAAUUUUAUAGGACGGCAAUAAGGCCGGCGAUGCUGUAUGGCACAGAAUGUUGGGCUGUGAAGCAUCAACACGUACACAAAAUGGGUGUAGCGGAGAUGAGGAUGCUUCGUUGGAUGUGUGGGCACACAAGAAGGGAUAAGAUUAGGAAUGAGGAUAUCCGGGGUAAAGUAGGAGUAGCCGAAAUUGAAGGAAAGAUGAGAGAAAAUCGGUUACGGUGGUUUGGACAUGUGCAAAGAAGGCCUACUGACGCUCCGAUUAGAAGAUGCGACUAUGGGACAGAGGUUCAGGGCCGAAGGGGUAGAGGAAGACCUAAGAAAACUUUGGAAGAGACUCUAAGAAAAGACUUAAGAGUACUUGGAUCUAACGGAGGACAUGACACAGGACCGAGCACAAUGGCGUUCAAAGAUUCAUAUAGCCGAUCCCACUCAGUGACUUGGAUUUUCCAAGUCUCCAACCGAGAAGUUUUCCUCACUCGGGAAAUUAAGGGAAUACUACCUCAACCUACAUGCUCCACUCACAAAGCUUCAACAUACAAGCUUCAACAAAAGAAAAUUCAGAGAACUUAGCGAAGAAGGCUUUGGUGUAUUUAACACAAUACGUUGAAAUGAAGGAAAGCUAUUUAUUGAUAUCCCCGAUAAGUCACAAAUAUGUACAUAUACAUGAGUCAAAAUAAACAAACAAGAGGGAGCCUUCACAAAGGUUUCUUAGGAGAAGUCUCAGCAGUCGGUAGAGCCCCAGAAAGCAUGCAUGGGAGGGGGAUCAUUUGGAGCCUCAGUACUGGACAGAACCCUAGAAGGAGGAGGCAGCAGAGGUUGAUCAUUUGGAGCUUCAUUACGCGGUAUGGCCCCAGAAGACGAAGGCAAUAAAUGCCUUUGGAACAAACCCACAAAUCUCUGAUGAUCAAGUAAAACCUGACCAUCAGAUUCCUUCAUCUGGUCAAGCUUCCUCUUCAUGUUUGUAGCAUAGUCAUGUGCGAGCCAGUGCAACUGUUUAUUCUCAUGCUUGAGCCCUCUAAUCUCCUGUUUGAGACUCAUCACUUCAGCCGCCAAUGAUUCAACUUGGCGGGUUCAAGCAAAUAGGCUUUGGGCCAUGUUAGACACGGAACCUGCACACUGAACACUGAGAGCCAGAGAAUCCUUAACAGCCAACUCAUCAGACCGUUUGGAAAGUAGUCUGUUAUCUUUGGGAGUGAGAAGGUUCCUGGCCACUACCGCAGCGGUCAUAUCAUUCUUCAUCACGGAAUCCCCAACAGUAAGAGGACCAGUAGGGGAGAUGAAGGAUGGGCGCCAUAUGUUGUUUGGAGAAGGCGUGGCUGCCUCUUCAACAAAGUUCAAGUCAAAACGACGGUCGGAGGGGCCAGACAUUUUCAAAGGUGUUGAAGAGAGAAGAGGUCGGACAAAUCAAGAUCUUAGAAGUGCAAGAAUGGAGCUUCUACUGGUGGAAAUUCAAGUGCUUUGGAACUUAAUGCCAGUCUCUAUAAAAAUUUGCACUCGACGGAGCUUCAGAAAUCGAAGAGGCGUUUGCUUUCUCAAAAGCUGGGCUGCUCAGAGACCACGAGACGUUUGCUUUCUCAAAAGUUGGGCUGCUCAAAGACUACGAAGGCCGAUCUCAGAAAUCGAAGAGGCGCUUGCUUUCUCAAAAGCUGGGCUGCUCAGAGACCACGAGGGCCGAUCUCAGAAAUCGAAGAGGCACCUACUUUUCCAGCCUUGUCAGCACCUGUCAGCUUUGCGGAAAUUAUGGGCAUUAUGUCGAAGAUUUCUGGUGAAGUAGAAAGCACAUGAAUCUUACUGUUCAAUCACCCACUUCCCACACGCAACAUUAGCUCAUGGGUACCAUAGAUAACUUUGCCAAAGUUCUCUGACAAAGUUGAGACAUGUGAAACUUGCAGCUCCCACUACACCGCUCUGACCAAGAAGGGUAAAAGAAUAGCAAAGAAACAACACUAACAAAGUUUAGACACAUAAAUUUUGAAGGUCUAGCUACCAUAUUAUUACCCACAAGGGUAAAGGAACAGUACCACUGCUGGAUAAUUGGAAAGUCCCUGUGUGUCAACCUCUGUGCUUCGUGGCAAGAUAGACUAGCAAACAUGCCCAACCUUUUCUCACAUUUGAGAAAACACUCCCAACAAGAUUGCUUGCUCCAAAAUCGAAGAGGCACCGCCCUCCGAAUCUCGAGAGCCAGACUCCCAACAUGAUUACUUUCUCAAAAAUCAAAGAGACACUGCUCUUUGAAUCUCGAGAGCCAGACCCCUAGCAGGAUUGCUUUCUCAAAAAUCGAAAAGGCAUCGUUCUCCGAAUCUCGAGAGCCAGAUCCCCGACAGGAUUGCUUGUUCGAAAACCGAAGAGGCACCACUUUCCCAACUUCAAGAGCCGGAUCUCCUUGGAUAAAGCUUGUCUGUAAUCUUUACACGCAACAUUAGCUUUCCAGAUACCACAGACCACUUUUUCAAAGUGCUAUGACAGAGUUAAAACAUGUGAAGCUGGCAGCUCCCACUACCGUGUCAUGACCAAGCAGGGUAAAGGAAUAGCAUUACUACUUGUUGUUAGGGAGAUUCCUAUAUAUGUUGACCUCCAUCCCCAACAGACAGGCAGACCUGCAAAAAUGCUCAACCCUUCCAUAUCUGAGAGGGCACUCCCAAAGAAGCCUUUCGAAAUAUUCAGCUUUCUUUCCCCCCGAUAAUACCUCUGCAAACAAGCUAUACUAGAGCAAGAAUAUCUCAUAUCAUCAGGGUUAAAAGCAAGAGUAUCCCAUAUCAUGUUUUUUCCCUGUCUUUUCCUGUGGCCUUGUUCUUACCUGCAAGACAAGGAGAAAGAGAGCAAUCAGUCAACACUUGGAAUCAAACUUCCAGUCAGGAACUGACUGCCUGGAACCCCUUACUUGAUUACUUACCUGACAUUGCUCUCGAGUACUCAUCUUCAACAUCUUAUGCUUCCAGGGAAGAUACCGCAUCUGCCUGAGGAACAUAUAGGGCAAAUGAGAAGGAUACAAGGAAGCAUGUGGAGACAAGCGUAACAGCACACGUGCCGAUACAUCCACUACUCUGUCAAAAGCAAAAGUAUC